UACGUAGGGGGCAAGCAUUGUCCGGAUUUAUUGGGCGUAAAGAGCGUGUAGGCGGCCAGACAGGUCCGUUGUGAAAACUAGAGGCUUAACCUCUAGACGUCGAUGGAAACCGUCUGGCUAGAGUCCGGAAGAGGAGAAUGGAAUUCCUGGUGUAGCGGUGAAAUGCGCAGAUAUCAGGAAGAACACCCGUGGCUAAGGCGGUUCUCUAGUACGGUACUGACGCUGAGACGCGAAAGCGUGGGGAGCGAACAGG
rnacentral:rRNA from 1 species